GAGAGUAAAGGUGAAAGUUUGGCCCUAACAAUUCGAACCCACCCUGAGUCCGAACAAGGCUUAAAUCAAGUUUUUUGAUCUUGAAGGCAGAUUAGGGUUGAAAAACCCCAAUAGGUCAGGUCGGGCUCGAGUUGGGUUCUAGGUCCGGCCUAACCUAGCCCAACCCGACCCAAAUAUUAACCCGCAUUUUAGAGUUUAGGGCUUCUGUUUCUAUUGAAAAAAAAAAAAAAGACUGUCCGCUGUUGUAAUGCGCCGGAUCAGCUCCAAUCCCUGUCUCAAUUCUCAAGUCUCAAUGCCAAAUUGCCAGUGGUUCCCUCGUCGUGGAAUCACCAUGCCAUGGUGCCACCAUAGUAUCUCGCAUUCUCGCUGCUCUUCCUCUUUAACCUUUCUGCAGCUACAAAUUUCUUCUACUCUGAUCGUAUUGGAAUGGGUGAAUCCGUGGAUGGUUCGGGAGGAGCAGCUUUGAACAUUUGAACCGGCGCACGGUUGUGGAAUCACCAUGCCAUGGUGCCACCAUAGUAUCUCGCAUUCUCGCUGCUCUUCUUCUUUGACCUUCCUGCAGCUACGAAUUUCUUCCAAUCUGAUCGUAUUGGAAUGGGUGAAUCCGUGGAUGGUUCGGGAGGAGCAGCUUUGAACACUUGAACCUGCGCACGGUUGUCGGUGAGCUUGGCUGAAGAUGGGGCGAUGGGCGGUGCUUUAUGUACUUUAAAAAUUUGAAUCCAAUCGACUUUCAGCUUUUCUCACUCCAUACUUUUCUGAGUUUUCUGUUCCAUCAGCUGCUCAGCAUCUAUCGAAGUCUUUGGAAGGUUUGAAUUUGCCGGCAUUGGUGAUGCUUCCGGCACACUAGCCGGAGAAGGGCGUCGUGGUUGGGGGAGUAGUAUAGUAGAGCGGCGGUAUUGGACAGGUUUUGUAAGACCUCGUCACAUGAAUGGAUGAGAUUUUUAUGUUUAAUCUAACGGUUAAAAUCCCGCUAACAUACUUAUUCUUAGGUAUUACGCUAGCAUUCCUGUCAUUUUCCCAUAUAUGUAUUCAUAGUGAUGAAAUAUUACAAAUUAUCAAUGGUCAAUAUAGUCAUACUCCUUUAUCGAUUACAGAACAAGUGGACAUAUCUCUGAAUUCAGUCCUAAAAAAUAAUAAUCCCUCAGAUCUCCUGGUUCAAACUUAUUCAGCUUUAGAUCCAUUUUCAUUUUUCAUAUUUAUGAUCUAUGUGACAAGUUGCCAAUAGAUCUGUAGGUGCGAGCGAGUAUUUGGCCAAUAACCCUUUUUGACACAUUGGCUCAUGUGACAAGUGGCGGGAAUACAAAAAAAAAAAAUGUUACAGUGGAUUUCCUAAAAAAAUCAUUAGUGUUUAAUACUUAGUUUAUUUUAAUGAGAUCAUAUAAGAGGCAACGGAAGAUCUUUUCAGGUCUGCAUUUGAAUCAUUUAACAUAGUGGAAAAUGCAUAGGGUAAGUUGUAAAAAAUAAAAAACAAUGUAAUGAAAGGAUACUAAGAGGCCUGUUAUCUACCCUCUCUCAAGUCUCAAAUAAUUCCAUAGUACAUUAUGCUAAUCUAUAGGGCAAAUCUACAUUGUUGCCAUGUAGUCUCCAGUACAGUUGAGAAUGCAUAGUACUUAGUAGUAUACUAAGAAAUCCUACGCCAAACUGUUAGCACUUAAAGGGCCAUCAUAUGAUCCACUCAGAUCAAUGCAUCAGGGCAUUUGGUCAAUAAUUCUUGUCGAACUCAUGUGAUAAGUGGCAAAAAAAUAAUCGAUAUUUAGAGACACUAUUGGGGGAAAAUAGCUGCUAUCCGGGUUGUAGUGAAGUAGAUGCAACCCCUGCUCACUACCAAAGAAAUUGAAUAAUUUAUCUUCCCCCUUGGGUUCUCAAAUACCCUCCUAAGUUUAGUAUUUUAAAAAAUACUCUAGGCCAAAUUACAUUUGAUAGGUUUUUGUAUAUAUAUCAUAUGUUGUUAUACAUUUAUGCAUAAUUGCAUACUAUAUAAUAUUUAUUCUAAAAUCCAAAUAAACACAUAGGAAUUAGGAACCGUUGGUACUUAGAUCCAAUGGUCCAAAAAAUGCCCUUAAUUGGCUAAUAUGGUGCUUAGAUGAGUUUUUCUAUGACUUAGCUCUUAGUUCCAAUCUAAAUCCAACGAGUCAAAGAUCAUACUUAAAAAUUGAAAUCCAACGACCAUGAAAACUCCAUUUGAUAUAUAUAAAUUCUGAGAAGUGAAAAUCGUAGCUGGUAGACAAGGAAGCUGGACUCUGAAAUCUGAACCCUCUUUUCUUUCCAAAAAAAAAGAAAAACAAGGAGAAAAAACAGCAGCGAGGACGACGGUCGAAAAAAAUAGAAAAGGUGAAUACUUUUGUCUGUGUUUCCUUUGCUCCAAAAUGAGAUUGAUCCAAAUCAAGUUCACAUUUGAAGAAGCAUAAUAGAAAUGGGAAGAUGAAUUCAAGAAAUAGAAACAGAAUCAGAGCCAGAAGUAGAACUCAAGAGAAGGAAGCAUUGCAUUCCAUGAGAAAACAUAUCUGUGAGACAUUUUUUCGAACAGGUCUUGAGCAUCUGAGAUGUAGCCAGAUUUAGCAUAAAUCUGGAGAAGACGAUUGUGAAACCCUCUUUGGUUCUCUUUGGUUCACAAUGAGGAACUAACCACUAACCCUAGAAAAACCCAAGUCCGAUCGGUCAAAUUGCAGAGGCUUUACAGGUAAACAAUACCGAACUCUCCAAUCUUGAUUUGGGUUGUAGAUCAGGGCAUUAUAAGGUUUAUUGAGGUCAUGAUCCAUCAUCAACAUAUCAGAGAAGAUGCAAAGAGCUAGGGUAUACUUGUUUGAGCGACAACGAGCAGAGAUCAAAAGGGGAAACCAAGGUCGAUCGUGCUUCUCUUCUCUUCUCAGGCAAUCGUGCUUCUCUUCUCCGGCGAUCGUGCUUCUCUUCUCCGGCGAUCGGUCUUCUUCUUCUCCAGUUCUGUGUGCGCAAAGAUGAAAGGCAGAGGUGAAAAAAGAUUGCGAGUGUAUUCCGUCGGUCGAACUUGAGAGUGAAGUCGGAUUCAAGGUCGAUCGUGCUUCUCUUCUCUGGCGAGCGGUCUUCUUCUUCUCCAGCUCUGAGUGCGCGAAGUUGAAAGGCAGAGGUGAAAAAAACGAGGCGAGUAUUUUAUCGGAAACUUGUCUCUGAAGUUGUGAAAAAAAAA